rnacentral:rRNA from 1 species
CCUACGGGAGGCAGCAGUGAGGAAUAUUGGUCAAUGGGCGGGAGCCUGAACCAGCCAAGCCGCGUGAGGGAAGAAGGUACAGCGUAUCGUAAACCUCUUUUGUCAGGGAACAAAGGCGGGGACUAGUCCCCGGAUGAGGGUACCUGAAGAAAAAGCAUCGGCUAACUCCGUGCCAGCAGCCGCGGUAAUACGGCGGAUGCGAGCGUUAUCCGGAUUUAUUGGGUUGAAAGGGUGCGCAGGCGGCCUGUUAAGUCAGCGGGAAAAGCCCGGGGCUCAACCCCGGCGAGCCGUUGAAACUGGCGGGCUGGAGUUGGAGAGAAGUACGCGGAAUGCGCGGUGUAGCGGUGAAAUGCUUAGAUAUCGCGCAGAACCCCGAUUGCGAAGGCAGCGUACCGGCUCCACACUGACGCUGAGGCACGAAAGCGUGGGUAUCGAACAGGAUUAGAUACCCGGGUAGUC